AUGACAAGUCAAGAUCUGUGACCAAGACUCCUGCCAUGAAGGAAGAUAGAAGAGGAAUUGAGGGUUAAGAUAAUAAUACCUACUUCAAAAGAAGAUGAUUUUGUUAGUGGUAUGCUUCACUUGGGAUGUAUGAUGUGGCUGUCAAGCAUAUGAUGAAAAUCUUGGCCUGCAGUCACCAGUCCAAGGCAACACAUGAAUUAUUUCUUAGUGACUUUCUUCAAACUGUGAAGCAGGUGAUGCAGAAUUAUAUAAUUUAAAUGUUGCAGCAGGUGAUGCAGAAUCCUAACUUCAUGACCAUGGCUGAGCGCUU